UCACGUGGGUUUUGCAAAGAGUUUCUUACAGAGUUCUUUGGCAUUCUGUCCACCUCCCCCCUCUCUCUGUGUGUCUGUGGCUCAAUGGAUGGAGGUGGGCAUACUGCCAACAGAGCUCUGUUGGCUUCUCUUUGUAAAACCCCCGUGA